AACAGGGUUGAAAUAUUCAUUUCACGGAUUCUGUUCAUGUGUUCUGUUUUAAAUGUUAUUAUUUCCAUAUAACGCAUUGUGUUUACCUGGGUUACUUAUUAAGCUGUGCUCCUGUGGCCAGUCUUAGAGUUAAAGUCAGUCAAGCAUGUGAGUUACACAUGUCCAGUUUAUAUAAUUGUUCAGUCAGGCUUGACCAGUUAUUUUCCCGCCCUUUCCUUUGUCUUCUGGUCACUUCUAACUUGAACACAGAGCUGUACACGUCUACUUUUAAGAUGUACAUUUAUAGUACAGAGUUGCCAUUACUUCAAUAUAAGGUUAGUUCUAUUUCUACCUGUUUGCAUUUACUCUUUCUUGUAUUUGCAUUGAGUUGUAUUUAUGUUGUGAGUUGAUAUAACUCAUAUUUGAUAAGUAAUUAGGUUAAAUUCAGAAAAGCAGCAUUGCCAUCCUAAACGUGCUAACGAUUCCUAUAAUUCACAGUUUCCCAUACUCUUCACAUGUAUAAUCUUAUUUGCAGCAGUAGCACAGCACCCGCAGAGAAUUGUAUACGAUUGAGAGAGAGUUCCGUACACAUUCCACAAAUGUGACAUGGAAUUCGUAUAAUAAUAAAGACGAAUACAACAUAUAUUCGGGUGGUUAUUUUGAGCCGGGUACUGCCCGUUUAUAUUUGGCGCCCAACGUGUUUUGCGGACCCGAGAGGAAGAUGGCGGCCCGUGGAAAGCGGAGAAGUCGUGGAAGGGUCGUUGAGGACUGAGCGUACGUAGGAAGAGUCUUAUUGGACGGGUCGUUGAGGACGUAGCGGAAGUGGGAGUCGUUUAACCGUGUAUUUAGAACAUUUCCGAGGAUUUAUAGUGCAAUAUCGUGUACCUACCGUGUGGACAAUUGUGAAGUGGACAUCUUUAAAUAGUUAUCGUGUAUCAUAUUCAGACUUUUAAUCAUUUGUGGCCUAUAUUCAUCAUAUGUGUAUUCUUCACCUUUCUUCGUAACCGUGAGUAUAUGUAUGUGAGUGAGAGAGAGAAUAUAUUAUUUGUUUACCUAAUAUAAUUGAUUGCUCUAAUUACUUGGUGACGGUUACAUCUUUAUAAGAUCUAUUCUUCAUCCUUUAUCAACAGUUACUAAAAACAUUGAAAUGCUGCUAUUUUGAAUUUAUUCAUAAAGUGAUUAUAAAUUCAUUAAUUUUGUAACCAACUCAUUGCUAUCCCUUUAACCUCUUUAUUCUAUAAAUUCUCAUAUAAUCCCUUUCCCAGUGUCCAUACCUUUAUCCAGCCCUUUUACAUUUUGGCCUUAAUUCUAUUUAGUCCAUUGUAUUCCAUUUUAUUACUGUGUGAGUGUUUGUUUUGAUUUGUUGCAUUCCUGAGUUUAUGCAUUGCUAACAGUACAUCAGGUUACACUUGUUCACCUUGAUUAUACAUGAUUUGGUUUUGAUUGGAUAUAGAAUUCCCUAAUUUGCAUACUGAGUUUGGAUAUCAUCGCUUCCUUGGUUUUCAUUGGUUGACACAUGACUGAAUUUUUUUCACUGACAGACCAUGUGACUACUAUUUUACCUUAUAUGGAAGUUGUAGUAGAGUAGUAAUUCUCAACACAGUGUAGUAGUAUAUGUACAUGUAGGUAAGGUCUGUUUUGGACAGAUGUCUCCCGUGUGAGCUGAUAUCAGGUAAAUCUGUUUACACAUUUGUGGUCGGCUUCUUUGGUUGUUAUUUUAGUUAAUUUGAUUUGUCUCAGGGCAUUGCAUUUUUAUUUUGGCGUUUAAUAUUUCUGAAGUUAAUACUUAUAACACAGUGUAGGUUGAGUGAUUUGAAUUAAAAUACUUGGUGCAAUUUAUUCAUUUGAAUUUAAUUUGAAAUUAUUUUGAACACUUAUUUAAACUUCUUUAUUUUUUUGUGAAAUAUUUUCAUUUAUUAUUGAUACUUAGGUUUGAUUUGAAAUAUUUGGUUUUAUUUAUAUUGUAUUAUUCUAAGUUGGACUUUGAUUUUUAGGUUCUUCCUUGCAGUUUACGGAUGGAAAUACUUAGUUAAUUUCAUUUCAUAUCUUAUUUGGAAUUAUUCUUGGACAUUUUGGAUAAUUAAUUAUUUUCAUUUACAUUGCAUUCCAUUUACACAUAGUGUGUUGAAGUUCUGUUUGAUAUAGGUGAUUGAAGUUGUGCAUGUUUAGUUGUGACUUAAGUUGACGCAAUAGUGUGUUAGCUUGUUCUUGUACUUUGGAGUCUAUUUUUCAGUUCAUUCAAUUUUGGGUUUGUGCUUUUGUGACCGAAUUAGUUUGAACGUUGCUGAAAUUGUGUGAAAGUGCAUCACUGUUCAUACUUUGAAGUUUGAAUUUGAUGUUUUGUUUUAGUUGUGAUACUUGAUUGAUUGGUUCAUUGUGGGUCAAUUAAUUUACUUGUAUCUUAACUUUAUUUUUUUUAUACUUUGUGAUAAUAUUCUUAGUCCAGGAUCCGUUUGCGCACAAGUGAUUUAUUUAUUAUUCAUUAUACUUGGUGAUUAUUGAUUGACUUUCAGACAGUGCAAAAGUGAUUUAACUGGUGUUUUCACUUAUUGAAUUUGAUUUAAAGUGGAUUCAUUUGUUUGUACUUAUACUUUGAAUUGAUUUUAUAGAAGUUCACUUUGAAUUGCAACUUAAUUAGUCUUUGAGGAUUUAUUUGGUUGAACUUAAGGUUGAGUUGAUGCAAUACUGACUUAACUUUAUUAUUUUUUUUAAUUAAUAAUUAGAAUUGGAAGGUGUUUGUUUGUUGUUUUAUUGGCAGCAACUUUGAAUUUUGGGUAGCAUUUAACUGACUUUGAACUUUAUUUGGUCUAAGCUAUAUUAUACUAUGUAUGUUGGAAGAGAUUAGUGUUUCUUUGAAACACAAUAUACUUGGAAGGGUUAUCAUUAUUUCUUCGGAAACUAUUGACUUUGAAGUUGACAUGAAUUGAUUAUUUGACAGAAUUAAUUAAUUGAUUAAUUGAUAGGUUGCAUUAAAUCACUGAUAAUUGAAAGUUGAAUUUGAAGUUAAAUGAACAUGGCAUCAAGUGAAGGGAAGAUUAUGGAGACUGUUCAAGAAGAAGGAGGUCAGGAUAUUACAGAGGAAGAUAGGAAAUUGCUUGAAGCAUUUAAGAAGCUUGAUGUUAAGCCUGAAAUUGAAAAUACAGAAGACUUAAUCAAAUUUAUGUCCACAUAUAGAUGUCGGGAAAAGGCUGAAGAUAGGUAUAGGUCAGCUGAUACUUUAAGAUAUGUUGAGGACAGAAGACACUUUGAAGACAGAAGACACUUUGAGGACAGAAGAACCUUUGAGGAAAGAAGAUAUGGGGAUGACAGAACCUUCAAUAGUAGUAGCUACCCCAGGAUAUCAACCUUUGGAGGGGUUAGUGGAAAAGGAGAAGCCAGUUGGGAGAGUUUCAAGUUUGAAGUUCAGUCUUUGAUGGCUAAUAGGAUAUUCAGAGAAGAGCAAAUAUUAUUUGGAAUAAGAAAGGCUGCCAAAGAAGAUGUGGCUGACAUAUUAAGACGACUAGGAACAAAGGUUACAGUGAGUGAAGUUAUGUGGAAGCUGGAGAGUACAUAUGGAAAUGUUGAAACGAAGGAAACUAUUCUAAGAAAGUUUUACAAUUGUUCCCAGCAACCUGCAGAGUCCAUUGCAUCAUUUUCUUCUAAGCUUGAAGACUUGUACGAUAAGGCAGUUUCUUUGGGGGGUAUUAAGAAGGAUGACAAUAUAAUUAAAGGGGUCUUAUACCAAGGAUUGAAGAAGGAACUCAGGCAGCAGGCAGCUUACAAGUUUGAAACAGAACAUGAUUAUGACGCCUUUAAAAUCUAUCUAAGAAAGAUGGAGUCUGAAGAUAGAGAGGAGAAAAGAGAGACAACAAAGCCAGCCAACCCUGCGGUAAAUACAACAGCACCAGAAUUGACUGAGGUCCUGUCACAACUCAAAAGGUUGAAUGAAAGAAUCGAUAGAUUAGAAAGAGAGAAAGUAACAGGUCAGUCAGAGAACCAGUACACACCAUUUAUCAGCAGAGGUGCUCGGCGUGGACAACACGGUUAUGAUAGACAUUUCCGGCCAGAUCAGAGGGGUUUCAGAGGAACAACAAGAAGGGAACCAUCAAGGCCACUGUCAUCAACCACGUUUAUGCCCACCUGUUACCACUGCAAUCAACGUGGACACAUUGCUAGGGAGUGCCCAAAACUAGUUUGUGCUCCAGUCGCCGGGUCGGAGAGGAGCACACCAGAGACUAAGAAAGACCCUCAACUAGUUGGAGAUGUGAAUGAAGUCAACCUGAAUAUUAACAACAAUACAACCACAGCUCUUUUGGACACUGGAUCAUGCGUAAGUAUUAUAUCUGAAACAUUCUAUAAAGAACACUUAGCUGAUACUGAAUUAGAGCCACUGACAGAAAUGAUCAACAUAGAAUGCGCUGAUGGUCAACAACUUCCAUACUUAGGAUGUAUAGAAGCUACCAUUAGUAUUGAAAAUGGAUUGGAGAAAGCAACAUCAAAGCAAUGUCUCUUUUUGAUAUCACCAGAUACGAAAUACUCUGCAAGAACUCCAAUAAUUCUAGGAACAAACAUAUUGAAAACAUUACUACAAGACUGCAAAGAUAAUUUUGGUGAACAAUUUUUACAGAAGGCUAAUUUACAUACUCCAUGGUUUUUAAGCUUUAGAUGUUUAGUAAUAAGAGAGAAAGCACUUAGAAGAAACAAGAAUUGUCUGGCUAUACUGAGAUGUGCUACUGAACAGAAGAUUACCAUAGGACCAAAUCAAACCAAACCUAUACCAGUGACAGCUUAUAGAAAACUACCAUACAGUGAAUGUAAUGCAUUGAUAUCAGAGACAGGAGAUUCAUCACUUCCUGACUUCAUUGACAUCGGACCAGCUCUCGUGAAUUAUGACUUUAAGAAGAAUGAGUAUGUAGUGGAGUUAUCUAACGUCACCUAUAAUACAGUUACAAUAGCACCCAGAGCCAUCAUUGCAGAGCUACAGCCAGUUGACAUUGAAGAUGAUACAACAAGGAGACACCUGAAGGAAGAGGAAGAUUUGAAGAGAAGACAAGAGGCAUUGAUAGAAAGCUUGGACAUCGACAAAGACAACAUUUUAACACCUGAACAAAGAGAACAAUUAAAAACACUUCUUCAAAAACACAAGGAUUUAUUUUCAACUUCUGACACAGAUAUAGGAACGUGUACGAAAACCAAACAUAGAAUAAAUCUACAUGACGAAACGCCAUUUAAAAUGAGACAUCGCAGGAUACCACCUAACAUGGUUGAAGAGGUUAGAGCACAUCUGGAACAGUUACUUUCAUGCGGUAUAAUAACACCAUCCAAAUCUCCAUGGGCAUCACCAGUAGUUCUUGUUAGGAAGAAGAAUGGAACACUCAGAAUGUGUAUAGACUUUAGAAAUCUUAAUGCCAAGACUAUUAAAGACUCCUAUGCCCUUCCCAGAAUAGAAGACGUUUUUGAUUGUUUACAGGGGGCGAUGUAUUUUUCUACGUUGGAUAUGAAAUCAGGUUAUCAUCAAAUUGAAAUUGAGGAGGAGCAUAAGGAAAGAACAGCCUUUACAGUAGGAGCACUAGGGUUUUACCACUUCCGAAAAAUGCCAUUCGGAUUGACAAAUGCUCCAGCAACAUUUCAAAGAAAUUCAGAGGAAAUGCUAGGAGAUUUGAAUAUGAAGAUCUGCGUUAUUUAUUUGGACGACCUUAUCAUCUUUAGUAAAACUUUUGAGGAACACCUACAUAACAUAAACACCAUUUUUGACAGAUUAAGGGAAUUUGGUUUGAAACUAGCUCCUGAAAAAUGUGAAUUCUUCAGAGAAAAGAUAGCUUUCCUAGGACACAUUGUGAGUAGUAAAGGAAUUGAAACUGACCCAAGUAAGAUAGACAAGAUCAGAAACUGGCCAUCACCAAGCACACCAGAAGAAUUGAGAAGUUUUUUGUCAUUUGCUGGAUAUUACAGAAGAUUUAUUCAAGACUUUAGCAAAAUUACGAGACCGUUGAAUGAUCUGUUACCACCAACCAAAGCAAAGAAGGGACAGAAGAAACCACUGAAGGAAUGGAAAUGGACAGACACUGAAGAAGAUAUAUUUACUAAUCUGAAAGAAAUUCUGUCUACACCUCCAGUUCUGGCAUAUCCAGAUUUCAACUUACCGUUUGAAGUACACACGGAUGCAUCAGGUAAGGGUUUAGGAGCUGUGCUAUAUCAACAACAUCACGACAACACCAAACACGUCAUAGCAUAUGCAAGCAGGUCACUCAGUAAAUCAGAAUCAAACUACGCAGCUUUCAAAUUAGAAUUUUUGGCAUUAAAAUGGGCAGUCACCGAAAAGUUUUCAGAUUACUUAACCAACACUCACUUUACAUUACUCACAGAUAACAAUCCACUCACUUACAUUCUCACUACAGCGAAAUUAGACGCAACAGGGCAAAGAUGGGCAUCAGAUUUGGGCAAUUACAACUUUGACAUCAUAUACAGGGCAGGCAGAAACAACACAGAUGCAGAUGCACUCAGCAGAUAUCCUCACCACAAAAUCAUAGACCAACAACAACAUGAAAACAUCAAAAUAGACAACAGCACAGUGAAAACAAUUUGCAAGUACAUAACACCAGCACUCAUUGACACACUACCAGCAUUGUCACUCAACAUCAUAGAAGCUACAGAAACACCAAUGCAACCUAUAGCACAGCUUGAAUUAAGAGAAAUUAGGAAAGCACAGAGACAAGAUCAAUUAAUUGAAAAGUGGAGAAUAGCAACUAUAGACAAGACUCUACCCCAAUUUAAUACUCUACCUGGAGAUAUCAUAAUGAAAAAGAACUUUGAAAACUUUAUCAUAAAGAGAGGCAUUCUGUACAGGAAUUUACAUGAGAAUGAAGAGAUUAUUGAACAACUCGUUAUACCAAACUGCUAUAAGAGAGAAAUACUAGAAGGAUUUCAUGACGACUGUGGUCACCCUGGAAGAGAUAGGACACUAAGAUUACUGAGAGAACGCUAUUUUUGGCCAGGAAUUACAACAGAUGUGGAGAAACAUGUCACAGGAUGUAAUCGAUGUUUAAGGAGAAAGACAACAGUGAAUACAAGGGCACCAAUGAUUAAUGUGAAUACAACUUAUCCAUUAGAAUUAGUGUGCUUUGACUUUCUGUCAGUUGAACCAUCUAAAGGACAUAGUAACAUCCUAGUGAUAACGGAUCAUUAUACCAAAUUUGCCAUGGCCAUUCCGACAAAGAACCAGACAGCGAAAACAACCGCCGAAGCCUUUUAUAACAAUUUUGUUGUUCAGUAUGGUAUUCCAACAACUUUACACUCUGACCAAGGAGCCAAUUUCGAAUCACAGAUAAUCAAAGAGCUCUGCAAAUUAACCAAUACAAAGAAAACUCAUACUUCUAUUUACCAUCCUCAAGGAAACGGAACUCCAGAAAGAUUUAAUAGAACAUUACUAGGCAUGCUUGGAACAUUAGAGAAUGAUCAGAAGAAACAUUGGACUGAUUACAUUAAGCAUCUGGUAUUUUGCUACAAUUGUACUCCACACGAAUCGACAAGAGUAUCACCUUUCGAAUUAAUGUUCGGACGUAAAGCAAAAUUACCCAUGGACACCAAGUUUGAACAAGUAACAUCAGAAUUCAAGACCAAAGAAACCAAAGAUUACAUUGAACAUUUAAAGAUGAGAAUGAAGAGGACAAGAGAAAUAGUUGAACAGUAUGUAGAAAAUGCCAAAGGUAAGCAAAAGAAGUAUUAUGACAUGAAAGCUCGAGCAGCAAGAGUUCAAGUAGGGGAUAAGGUUCUUGUAAAAAUCCUAUCCCAUACUGAAGGAAAACACAAACUGGUAGAUAAGUUUGAAGAGGAAGUUUUUACUGUCCUAGAACAAGUAAAUGACCAUAUACCAGUCUAUCGUGUCAGGUCAGAAUCAGGUAAGGAGAAAACUCUGCACAGGAAUCAUCUGCGCCUGUUGGUUAAUCAGGAUGAAGCAGAAGAGUUCCGGGAUAAUCAGGAGACUACUUCAGGUAACAGCAUACCUGUAGACGUAGCAGAAGAAGAAGUAGAAGAAUUAUCAGACAAGAAGACCAUGGAUGCAUCCAAAGAAGUAGAAAAGAUGGAAGACGAUGAUGAGGAUGAGUCUGAUGCAGGAGAUCUUGUAUAUUUUUCAAGAGGUGGGGACGCCCAUAUCCUAGCUGACGACAUAGAUAUGUCUAGAGAAGAAUCAAGGACGGAAAACAUAGAUAUGUCUAGAGAAGAAUCAAGGACGGAAAACAUAGAUAUGUCUACAGAAGAAUUGAGGAUAGAAGACAGAGAUGAUAUUUCUAGUGAAGUUCCCGGAGAACAAAGAAACGAAGAUAGGGAAGAAUUAAUACAAGCAGAGGAUAGAGUAGAUGACGUUGUUGAAGAUGUUCCUGAAUCUACAGCAGGGAAUGAAGAAGAGAACAACGAAGAAGAGAUGCCUGAAAACGUACCUCAUCAAGUAGAUUUGUCGCAAGAAGCUGACAUUACUGAAGAACCAGACAUUACUGAAUACCCUAUACAAGAUCAAGAUAAUAAUAAUCAAGAAGAAAUUGAAGUCCCUAUAGAAAUGGAUGAAGCACAACCGAUAAGGACAGAGACAUCUACAUCGGAUACUAGAGCUCCAACACCAAAACCAAGACAAUCUGUCAGAGAGAGACGACCUCCAGAUCGGUAUAAGGAUUACCAGAUGAAUGCUUGUGUGGUACCAAGACCACAAGAUGCCAGGUUUGAGGCAUUAAAUAAAUUGAUUGCCUCAGGUGUUUUAAAUCAAUUAGACAGUAAGACAGCUGGACGUAUGGUUUCUAGUAUUUUUCAAUGAAAUUUUCAUUAAAAAAAUUUGUUUUAACAUAUUUUAAACAAUAUUGUGUAUGUAUUUUGUGUGUAUUUUAUAUCAGAUGUUGUUUUUUUUUGCAAGGUUCGGGCAGUAUUAUUCUGAUUAAUAAUUAUCAGAAAGAGUUAUCUCUGAAAUAAAUUUCAGUGAGUUUUCAUGCGAGUGACGUGAUGUUAUUUUUGUAACUUUCUUAUUAACAAUGUGAAUUGCUGAUAUUGCAUAUAGUAUCAAUUGAUUUUUUUAAUGUAUUAUUUUAAUGUGAGGACACAGUUCUGAAGAGCAGGAGGAAAAGAGUCAGAAUCAUAUUUAUACAUUUAGGUAAGGUAAGUAUGUAUCAGUUAUUCAGUAGUAUAACUAGUGGAUGUAGUUUCGAUAAAGUAUGUUGUUCUUGCUUGUACAAUGCUGUUAUUAUAAACAGUAUAGUGAGAUAGAUAGGUAUUGUAUCUAUUUUGUAUAGAAAGGUUAUUUGUUGACGGACGAUUCUGUUUUUACUGUGACAUGACAAUUUUGUUUUCUUCUUGGUUUGUUAUGAUGAGGACAUCAUUUUUCGGGCCAGGGAAGUCUGUAACAGGGUUGAAAUAUUCAUUUCACGGAUUCUGUUCAUGUGUUCUGUUUUAAAUGUUAUUAUUUCCAUAUAACGCAUUGUGUUUACCUGGGUUACUUAUUAAGCUGUGCUCCUGUGGCCAGUCUUAGAGUUAAAGUCAGUCAAGCAUGUGAGUUACACAUGUCCAGUUUAUAUAAUUGUUCAGUCAGGCUUGACCAGUUAUUUUCCCGCCCUUUCCUUUGUCUUCUGGUCACUUCUAACUUGAACACAGAGCUGUACACGUCUACUUUUAAGAUGUACAUUUAUAGUACAGAGUUGCCAUUACUUCAAUAUAAGGUUAGUUCUAUUUCUACCUGUUUGCAUUUACUCUUUCUUGUAUUUGCAUUGAGUUGUAUUUAUGUUGUGAGUUGAUAUAACUCAUAUUUGAUAAGUAAUUAGGUUAAAUUCAGAAAAGCAGCAUUGCCAUCCUAAACGUGCUAACGAUUCCUAUAAUUCACAGUUUCCCAUACUCUUCACAUGUAUAAUCUUAUUUGCAGCAGUAGCACAGCACCCGCAGAGAAUUGUAUACGAUUGAGAGAGAGUUCCGUACACAUUCCACAAAUGUGACAUGGAAUUCGUAUAAUAAUAAAGACGAAUACAACAUAUAUUCGGGUGGUUAUUUUGAGCCGGGUACUGCCCGUUUAUAUAACU